rnacentral:rRNA from 1 species
AUUAAACGCUGGCGGCAUGCCUUACACAUGCAAGUCGAACGGCAGCACGGGGGCAACCCUGGUGGCGAGUGGCGGACGGGUGAGUAAAGCAUCGGAACGUAUCCUGGAGUGGGGGAUAACGUAGCGAAAGUUACGCUAAUACCGCAUAUUCUGUGAGCAGGAAAGCGGGGGAUCGAAAGACCUCGCGCUAUUGGAGCGGCCGAUGGCAGAUUAGCUUGUUGGUGGGGUAAAGGCUUACCAAGGGCAACGAUCUGUAGCUGGUCUGAGAGGACGACCAGCCACACUGGGACUGAGACACGGCCCAGACUCCUACGGGAGGCAGCAGUAGGGAAUUUGGACAAUGGGCGAAAGCCUGAUCCAGCAAUGCCGCGUGAGUGAUGAAGGCCCUCGGGUUGUAAAGCUCUUUUGGUAGGAACGAAAAGGUCUGUGCUAAUACCACGGAACGAUGACGGUACCUGCAGAAUAAGCACCGGCUAACUACGUG